rnacentral:rRNA from 1 species
UCCCGCCUACGGGAGGCAGCAGUGAGGAAUAUUGGUCAAUGGUCGGGAGACUGAACCAGCCAAGCCGCGUGAGGGAGGAAGGUACAGAGUAUCGUAAACCUCUUUUGUCAGGGAACAAAGACUGGGACGCGUCCCCGGAUGAGUGUACCUGGAGAAAAAGCAUCGGCUAACUCCGUGCCAGCAGCCGCGGUAAUACGGAGGAUGCGAGCGUUAUCCGGAUUUAUUGGGUUUAAAGGGUGCGCAGGCGGUCUGUUAAGUCAGCGGUCAAAGCCCGGGGCUCAACCCCGGCCCGCCGUUGAAACUGG